AUUGAACGCUGGCGGCAGGCCUUACACAUGCAAGUCGAACGGCAGCACGGGUGCUUGCACCUGGUGGCGAGUGGCGAACGGGUGAGUAAUACAUCGGAACAUGUCCUGUAGUGGGGGAUAGCCCGGCGAAAGCCGGAUUAAUACCGCAUACGAUCUACGGAUGAAAGCGGGGGACCUUCGGGCCUCGCGCUAUAGGGUUGGCCGAUGGCUGAUUAGCUAGUUGGUGGGGUAAAGGCCUACCAAGGCGACGAUCAGUAGCUGGUCUGAGAGGACGACCAGCCACACUGGGACUGAGACACGGCCCAGACUCCUACGGGAGGCAGCAGUGGGGAAUUUUGGACAAUGGGCGAGAGCCUGAUACAGCAAUGCCGCGUGUGUGAAGAAGGCCUUCGGGUUGUAAAGCACUUUUGUCCGGAAAGAAAUCCUUGGCCCUAAUACGGUCGGGGGAUGACGGUACCGGAAGAAUAAGCACCGGCUAACUACGUG
rnacentral:rRNA from 1 species